AAUAACAGAUACUCUAGGGAUAACAGGCUUAACAUAUAUGAAAGUUCCUAUUUAUUUUUUUGUUUGGCACCUCGAUGUCGGCUUCAAACUCCCGUGACGAGCAGCUUCGUCUUUAUACGGUUAGGGUGUUCACCUCAUAAUGUUUGACUUGAGCUGGGUUCAGAGCGAUGUAAAUCAGGUUGGUCUAUAUCUUUAAAAUUUAAUCCUAGUACGAGAGGACCGGAUUAGGCG
rnacentral:rRNA from 13 species